UACAGAGGGUGCGCGCGUUGUCCGGAAUCACUGGGCGUAAAGGGCGCGUAGGUGGCGACCCAAGUCCGUGGUGAAAGCUCGUCGCUUAACGACGAGUCGGCCACGGAGACUGGGUGGCUCGAGCACUGUAGGGGCAGAUGGAAUUCCGGGUGUAGCGGUGGAAUGCGUAGAGAUCCGGAAGAACACCAGUGGCGAAGGCGGUCUGCUGGGCAGUUGCUGACACUGAGGCGCGACAGCGUGGGGAGCAAACAGG
rnacentral:rRNA from 1 species